rnacentral:rRNA from 1 species
UACGUAGGCAGCAAGCGUUGUUCGGAUUUACUGGGCGUAAAGAGUGCGUAGGCGGUGCUCCAAGUUUGGCGUGAAAUCUCCCGGCUCAACUGGGAGGGUGCGUCGAAUACUGGAAUGCUUGAGGGUGGGAGAGGAUAGCGGAAUUCCUGGUGUAGCGGUGAAAUGCGUAGAUAUCAGGAGGAACACCUGUGGUGUAGACAGCUAUCUGGACCAUUUCUGACGCUGAGGCACGAAAGCGUGGGUAGCAAACAGG